rnacentral:rRNA from 1 species
UACGAAGGGGCUAGCGUUGCUCGGAAUCACUGGGCGUAAAGCGCACGUAGGCGGCUUGUUAAGUCAGGGUGAAAUCCUGGAGCUCAACUCCAGAACUGCCUUUGAUACUGAAGAUCUUGAGUUCGGGAGAGGUGAGUGGAACUGCGAGUGUAGAGGUGAAAUUCGUAGAUAUUCGCAAGAACACCAGUGGCGAAGGCGGCUCACUGGCCCGAUACUGACGCUGAGGCACGAAAGCGUGGGAGCAAACAGG